rnacentral:rRNA from 1 species
UACGUAGGGUGCGAGCGUUGUCCGGAAUUAUUGGGCGUAAAGAGCUCGUAGGCGGUGUGUCGCGUCGGCCGUGAAAACCUGCAGCUUAACUGUGGGCGUGCGGUCGAUACGGGCAUCACUGGAGUUCGGCAGGGGAGACUGGAAUUCCUGGUGUAGCGGUGAAAUGCGCAGAUAUCAGGAGGAACACCGGUGGCGAAGGCGGCAUCCUGGACCGGCAUUGACGCUGAGGCGCGAAAGCCAGGGGAGCAAACGGG